rnacentral:rRNA from 1 species
AUGGAAGCUGCUGUAGAAGCAGAAUCGAAAGGCUCGCACGGCGGCGAGGCCGGUCGCCGGACGCCGCCGUCCAAGAAGGAUCGUCGGAGCUCCUCCUGGGGCUGCAUUUUGCUCCUGGUGAACAACUGCUUCCGGUACACGGCCUACUUCGGCGUGUCGACGAACCUGGUGAACUACCUCAAGGUCCAGCUGCACUCCGGCAGCAAGGCCGCGGCCAACAACGUCACCAACUGGCAGGGCACCGUGUCCAUCACGCCGCUCGCCGCGGCCUUCCUCGCCGACUCCUUCCUCGGCAGAUACUGGACCAUCACGCUCUUCCUCAUCAUCUCCGUCGCGGGUUAUGGGGUGGUGGCGGCGACCGCGUGGGCGGCGGUGGAGGGCGCGGCGUUCUACGCGGGGCUGUACCUGGUGGCGCUGGGCGGCGGCCUGCAGGCGGUCGUGGCGUCGUUCGGCGCGGACCAGUUCGACGCCGACGCCGACGAGGAGGAGCGCGGGCGGCAGAGCUCCUUCUUCAACUGGUUCUGCCUGACCUUCAGCGUGGGCUCGCUGCUCGGCGGCACUGUGCUGGUGUGGGUGCAGUCCGCUCACGGCUGGCGACUCGGCUAUGGUAUCCCGGCACUGCUCAGCGCGGCCGCCCUCGUGCUGUUCCUCGCAGGCACCGGCGCGUACCGCCGCCACCAGCCGCCCGGGGGCAGCCCGCUCACCCGGAUCGCGCAGGUGGUGGUCGCCGCCGCCAGGAAGUGCGACGUGGAGAUCCCGGCCGAUGCCACGCUGCUGCACGAGCUUGAAGGCGACGGCAUGUCGGUGAUACAGGGGAGCCGCCGCCUCGCGCACACCAACCAGUUCAGGUUCUUGGACAAGGCAGCGGUGGAGACGGCGGACGACAAAGCGAGGCCGGCGAGCCCGUGGCGGCUGUGCACGGUGACGCAGGUGGAGGAGCUCAAGUGCGUGCUCCGUCUGCUGCCGGUGUGGGCGUGCGGCAUCAUCUUCGCGGCCGCCUACACGCAGAUGAGCACCACCUUCAUCCUCCAGGGGGACACGCUGGACCCGCGCGUGGGCAGCUUCCGCGUCCCCGCGGCCGUGCUCACCGUCUUCGGCUACCUCAGCGUCAUGCUCUGGGUGCCGCUCUACGACCGCGCCAUCGUCCCGCUUGCGCGCCGCCUAACGGGGCACCACCGCGGGUUCACGCAGCUGACGCGCAUGGGCAUCGGCUUCGUCGUGCUCACGGUCGCCAUGCUCGCCGCCGGCACGCUCGAGGCCGCGCGGCGCCGCGUCUUCGCGCGCCAUGGCAUGCACGUCAUCGGCGCCGACGGGGCGGAGUACGUGCCGAUGUCGAUCUUCUGGCAGGUGCCGCAGUACGUGGUGUUGGGGGCGGCGGAGGUGUUCACGUUCAUCGGGCAGAUGGAGUUCUUCUACGACCAGGCGCCGGACGCCAUGCGUAGCGUCUGCUCGGGGCUCUGCACCGCGGCGUUUGCGCUUGGCAACUACGCGAGCUCGGCGCUCGUCAGCGUGGUGGUGCGUGCCACCGCGAGGGGCGGACGGCCCGGGUGGAUUUCCGACGACAUCAACGAGGGCCACCUUGAAUACUUCUUCUGGCUGCUCGCCAUGCUCUGCAUCGGCAACUUCGGCGCCUACCUGCUGGUCGCACGAUGGUACAACUACAAGAAGACCGCUAAAUGA